ACGAACGCUGGCGGCGUGCUUAACCCAUGCAAGUCGAACGGAAAGGCCCUGCUUUUGUGGGGUGCUCGCGUGGCGAACGGGUGAGUAACACGUGAGUAACCUGCCCUUGACUUUGGGAUAACUUCAGGAAACUGGGGCUAAUACCGGAUAGUAGCUCCUGCUGCAUGGUGGGGGUUGGAAAGUUUCGGCGGUUGGGGAUGGACUCGCGGCUUAUCAGCUUGUUGGUGGGGUAGUGGCUUACCAAGGCUUUGACGGGUAGCCGGCCGGAGAGGGUGACCGGCCACAUUGGGACUGAGAUACGGCCCAGACUCCGACGGGAGGCAGCAGUGGGGAAUAUUGCACAAUGGGCGGAAGCCUGAUGCAGCAACGCCGCGUGCGGGAUGACGGCCUUCGGGUUGUAAACCGCUUUCGCCUGUGACGAAGCGUGAGUGACGGUAAUGGGUAAAGAAGCACCGGCUAACUACGUG
rnacentral:rRNA from 1 species